CUCAAAGAUUAAGCCAUGCCAGUCUAAGUACACACGGCCGGUACAGUGAAACUGCGAAUGCUCAUAAAUCAGUUAUGGUUCCUUUGAUCGCUCUCACGUUACUUGGAUAACUGUGGCAAUUCUAGAGCUAAUACAUGCCAACGAGCGCUGACCUCCGGGGAUGCGUGCAUUUAUCAGACCCAAAACCCAUGCGGGGUGGCCCCCUUCCCGGGGGCGCCCCGGCCGCUUUGGUGACUCUAGAUAACCUC
rnacentral:rRNA from 1 species